AUCAGCAAUAAUGAUCCAGUCCUUGUUGGCUAUGGGUCAAAGGAUCACAAAAUUCACUAUUCUGGUCCAUUGUUAGUUCCAUCAGGAAAAAUGGAUCAAAUGCUGAAGGAUCAUGAUCGCCAGAUCCAAGAAGCUGUCAGACGAGCUCGUAUUGACAAGGCAAAGGUCAAAAAAGUUCAGGUUGAUGGGAACCAAAUAUCAACCAAUUCAAUAUUUGUUUCUGGUCGCUAAGCCUGAUUAAGCCCCCCACAUAAAUGUCAAGAGGAUCACUGCAGAAUAAGUUGCCUGUUGGUUUUCUUGCGUUAAAAAUGAGUAAAAUAGUUAGGUGGGGUUUUUUGUAUAGGGCUUGUUCUUAGAAAGAUAGUGGCAUAUAGCUAAUUGAUAAAGCAUUCCCUUCUCUCUGCAGUUUAUCAUGUGUAGUUACGUUUCAUUCUGCGACUGCAAUUUCUGAAUUAUGGGCCAUUCUUGUAGAGCAUUUUUAGUAGUCAUAAGCUGUAGAUUAUCUGGAAAAAUAUGACUUUGUGGUGUUAAAGAAAGAAAUGUUGAAUCCACCAUGCUUAAUUGCAGAAUAGCUUUUCAAGCUCCUGCAAGA
rnacentral:misc_RNA from 1 species